GAUGAACGCUAGCGGCAGGCUUAACACAUGCAAGUCGAGGGGCAGCAUGAAGGUUAGCAAUAACCUUUGAUGGCGACCGGCGCAAGGGUGCGUAACGCGUGAGCAACUUGCCCGUUUCAGGGGGAUAACCGGUGGAAACGCCGACUAAUACCCCAUGGCAUCAUUAGGAGGCAUCUCCUUCUGAUUAAAGAAUUUCGGAAACGGAUAGGCUCGCGUGACAUUAGCUAGACGGCGGGGUAACGGCCCACCGUGGCGACGAUGUCUAGGGGUUCUGAGAGGAAGGUCCCCCACACUGGAACUGAGACACGGUCCAGACUCCUACGGGAGGCAGCAGUGAGGAAUAUUGGUCAAUGGUCGAGAGACUGAACCAGCCAAGUAGCGUGAAGGAUGACUGCCCUACGGGUUGUAAACUUCUUUGUUGGAACAAUGAUACUACGUGUAGUAUUUUGCAUGUACCUUACGAAUAAGCAUCGGCUAAUUCCGUG
rnacentral:rRNA from 1 species